rnacentral:rRNA from 1 species
UGGGGAAUAUUGGACAAUGGGCGCAAGCCUGAUCCAGCCAUGCCGCGUGAGUGAUGAAGGCCCUAGGGUUGUAAAGCUCUUUCACCGGUGAAGAUAAUGACGGUAACCGGAGAAGAAGCCCCGGCUAACUUCGUGCCAGCAGCCGCGGUAAUACGAAGGGGGCUAGCGUUGUUCGGAAUUACUGGGCGUAAAGCGCACGUAGGCGGACAUUUAAGUCAGGGGUGAAAUCCCGGGGCUCAACCCCGGAACUGCCUUUGAUACUGGGUGUCUGGAGUCCGGAAGAGGUGAGUGGAAUUCCGAGUGUAGAGGUGAAAUUCGUAGAUAUUCGGAGGAACACCAGUGGCGAAGGCGGCUCACUGGUCCGGUACUGACGCUGAGGUGCGAAAGCGUGGGGAGCAAACA